rnacentral:rRNA from 1 species
AUUGAACGCUGGCGGCAUGCCUUACACAUGCAAGUCGAACGGUAACGGGCCUUCGGGUGCCGACGAGUGGCGAACGGGUGCGUAAUACAUCGGAACGUGCCCGAUCGUGGGGGAUAACGAGGCGAAAGCUUUGCUAAUACCGCAUACGAUCUACGGAUGAAAGCAGGGGGCCGCAAGGCCUUGCGCGGACGGAGCGGCCGAUGGCAGAUUAGGUAGUUGGUGGGAUAAAAGCUUACCAAGCCGACGAUCUGUAGCUGGUCUGAGAGGAUGAUCAGCCACACUGGGACUGAGACACGGCCCAGACUCCUACGGGAGGCAGCAGUGGGGAAUCUUGGACAAUGGGCGCAAGCCUGAUCCAGCCAUGCCGCGUGCAGGAUGAAGGCCUUCGGGUUGUAAACUGCUGUUGUACGGAACGAAAAGCCUUCCUUUAAUACAGGAGGGUCAUGACGGUACCGUAAGAAUAAGCACCGGCUAACUACGUG